AUUCAGCUGAUGAAUCCCAAAUGGGACGAAACGCUUGUCCUAGAU
rnacentral:hammerhead_ribozyme from 1 species